GACGAACGCUGGCGGCGUGCUUAACACAUGCAAGUCGAACGGAAAGGCCCUGCUUUUGUGGGGUGCUCGAGUGGCGAACGGGUGAGUAACACGUGAGUAACCUGCCCUUGACUUUGGGAUAACUUCAGGAAACUGGGGCUAAUACCGGAUAGGAGCUCCUGCUGCAUGGUGGGGGUUGGAAAGUUUCGGCGGUUGUGGAUGGACUCGCGGCUUAUCAGCUUGUUGGUGGGGUAGUGGCUUACCAAGGGUUUGACGGGUAGCCGGCCUGAGAGGGUGACCGGCCACAAUGGGACUGAGGUACGGCCCAGACGCCUACGGGAGGCAGCAGUGGGGAAUAUUGCACAAUGGGCGGAAGCCUGAUGCAGCAACGCCGCGUGCGGGAUGACGGCCUUCGGGUUGUAAACCGCUUUCGCCUGUGACGAAGCGUGAGUGACGGUAAUGGGUAAAGAAGCACCGGCUAACUACGUG
rnacentral:rRNA from 1 species